AUCUCGUUGGGCUAGUGGUCAUGCCAUCUGUCUCACAAAAAAAAUCAAAAAUUUCUCUGGAUUUUUUCGUCGCGCACAGAAGAUCGCAGGUUCAAACCCUGCACGGGAUA